rnacentral:rRNA from 1 species
UACCAGCACCCCGAGUGGUCGGGACGAUUAUUGGGCCUAAAGCAUCCGUAGCCGGUCCUGCAAGUCUUCCGUUAAAUCCAGCUGCUCAACAGAUGGGCUGCGGGGGAUACUACAGGGCCAGGAGGCGGGAGAGGCAAGCGGUACUUUAUGGGUAGGGGUAAAAUCCGUUGAUCCAUAGAAGACCACCAGUGGCGAAGGCGGCUUGCCAGAACGCGCUCGACGGUGAGGGAUGAAAGCUGGGGGAGCAAACCGG